rnacentral:rRNA from 1 species
UACGGAGGGUGCAAACGUUGCUCGGAAUCAUUGGGCGUAAAGCGCACGUAGGCGGCCUGUUAAGUCGGGUGUGAAAUCCCUGGGCUCAACCCAGGAAGUGCACUCGAAACUGGCAGGCUUGAGUACUGAAGAGGGUCGCGGAAUUCCCGGUGUAGAGGUGAAAUUCGUAGAUAUGGGGAGGAACACCAGUGGCGAAGGCGGCCA